UCUGGAGCUGCUACAAUUGCUUUAGCCGGAGCUGCUGUCGGUAUUGGAAACGUCCUCAGUUCUUUGAUUCAUUCCGUGGCGCGAAAUCCAUCAUUGGCUAAACAAUCAUUUGGUUAUGCCAUUUUGGUCUUUGCUCUCACAAGCAAAGCGAAGGUUGUUAUUCAAUAG
rnacentral:rRNA from 1 species